rnacentral:rRNA from 1 species
CCUACGGGCGGCUGCAGUGGGGAAUAUUGCACAAUGGGCGCAAGCCUGAUGCAGCCAUGCCGCGUGUGUGAAGAAGGCCUUCGGGUUGUAAAGCACUUUCAGCGGGGAGGAAGGCGGUGAGGUUAAUAACCUCAUCGAUUGACGUUACCCGCAGAAGAAGCACCGGCUAACUCCGUGCCAGCAGCCGCGGUAAUACGGAGGGUGCAAGCGUUAAUCGGAAUUACUGGGCGUAAAGCGCACGCAGGCGGUCUGUCAAGUCGGAUGUGAAAUCCCCGGGCUCAACCUGGGAACUGCAUUCGAAACUGGCAGGCUAGAGUCUUGUAGAGGGGGGUAGAAUUCCAGGUGUAGCGGUGAAAUGCGUAGAGAUCUGGAGGAAUACCGGUGGCGAAGGCGGCCCCCUGGACAAAGACUGACGCUCAGGUGCGAAAGCGUGGGGAGCAAAUAGGAUUAGAUACCCCAGUAGUC